AUACGGAGGGGGUUAGCGUUGUUCGGAAUUACUGGGCGUAAAGCGCACGUAGGCGGACUGGAAAGUUGGGGGUGAAAUCCCGGGGCUCAACCCCGGAACUGCCUCCAAAACUUCCAAUCUAGAGAUCGAGAGAGGUGAGUGGAAUUCCAAGUGUAGAGGUGAAAUUCGUAGAUAUUUGGAGGAACACCAGUGGCGAAGGCGGCUCACUGGAUCGAUACUGACGCUGAGGUGCGAAAGCGUGGGGAGCAAACAGGAUUAGAUACCCUAGUAGUCC
rnacentral:rRNA from 1 species